GUGAGUAGUUCAGAGUUUGAUCCUGGCUCAGGAUGAACGCUAGCGGCAGGCUUAACACAUGCAAGUCGAGGGGCAGCAUGAGACGGAGAUUCGUCAAAGUCUUGAUGGCGACCGGCGCAAGGGUGCGUAACGCGUGAGCAACUUGCCCGUUUCUGGGGAAUAACCGGUGGAAACGCCGACUAAUACUCCAUGGUACAUUUGUGAGGCAUCUUACAGAUGUUAAAGAUUUAUCGGAAACGGAUAGGCUCGCGUGACAUUAGCUAGAUGGCGGGGUAACGGCCCACCAUGGCGACGAUGUCUAGGGGUUCUGAGAGGAAGGUCCCCCACACUGGAACUGAGACACGGUCCAG
rnacentral:rRNA from 1 species